UAUAUCUGAGUAUGUGAUGUACAAGGGCUUUUGAAGCCUUAAGGGGUAGUUAAAUUCUACCAGAUGUAA
rnacentral:tRNA from 1 species